UAGUAUUCCGUGUCUCGAGCCGGGGGUCUAUCGGAAACAACCUUUCUACUUCUUUAGAGACAGAGGUAUGAACUGGGUACAUCUUACCCUCCCCAGACCUCACUAUGUGGGAAUACACUGGGUUUGUUGUUGUUGUUGUAUCAACAUUAUUACAUUGAGGCCCUAUUUAUAAACACUACACAUUCCAAUCCUUUUCCUAAUAGGAAAAUACAUUAC
rnacentral:lncRNA from 1 species